AUUUACGACCACUUCGCUUUUCUCAUUCCCGUCCCUGAUGAAUCGGCCAACAUCAACGCCGUCGUCAAACCGUUUCAAUGGCCGGUUUGGCUGGGACUGGGGGUAUCAAUCGCCUGCGUCAUCGCAGUUUUAAAUGUAAUCCAGCGCUACUUGGAAUAUCGAUCCGAAUUCGAAAUGGAUUUUAAAACCAGCAAUAAACCACAGUCAGAAAAUUUAGCAAACGACAAUCAACUUCGUUUCAAGAAAUGGCCAAUCGGAAAGCAUUAUCUCUACGUUUUUGGCAAUUUGCUUUCACAAGGUGGACUCUGCCCAUCGAAACGACUACCUUACCGACUAGUCGCUGGAGUGUGGACCCUGGCCGCUUUCUUCUUCGUCCAGUCCUACACGUCGACUCUCUUCACUUAC